rnacentral:lncRNA from 1 species
UAAUCUACAAUGCAAGAUGAGGUUCCACAGCAUCACGCAGCAGUACUUUCGCAGGGCGGACGGAAUCAUCGCUAUGUAUGACCUCACGCAUGAGGCGUCAUUCACGGCUGUCUGCCAUUGGUUGGAUCAGGUGCAGGUUACUCGCCUCACAGGAGGACAAGCAGUGCGAGUCUGUGCUCCGUCUGCACGUCUCUGCCAACAGAGGGCGCUGCUGCAGAUAACUGGAGCGUCACUUCAGAAUUCAGCGACGACUUGGCUCAUGAAUAUUAAUUACGUCACUUGACGCACAAAGAAUUUAACAAACAACCUAUGAGUAUUCAUAAGCUAAAGGAUUAGGAGUGGAAAGUCCACCUCUAAACAUCAGCUAAAUUAAUAACCAUAUUUCAGCAAGGUAAAAAGUUAUAAAACAGUAUCGGGAACAGUGCUAAGAUCAUUUCAGCAUUACUACAGACUCCGACUGGCGAUCUGUUACACAAAACUAUCUGUGAGGUACACUUUUAAAUCGUUUUUUAUACUCAAAUACAUUUAUCAUCAGUCUAAUGUUAAAAAGUAUGAGUAUUUUCAUAAUAAUUAUUAGUAUUAAUUUGUGGACUCGGACAACAAAUGCAAUUUUUGGGAACCAAAAAUUAAAUGUUAUGUUUACAUUAAAUGUUUUCUAUGUAAAUAUUGUAUCUAAACACUAUGACAGUUGUUUGUUUUUGGGACUGGAGCAAUAAAUGUGGUUUGUUCUACAGCGCUUUCUCUCGGCGCUUUGUAUUAUUACAUGGCGUGAACGCGCCGCGCGCUCCGUAGAAUGACGCGUUCACGAGAGCACUCAGAGCAGUGCCCACAAACAAACGCGGACAGAAGGGCACAGACCUCUGGAGUAAAAGCGGACUCACAGACAUAAUUUUUAUUUUUAUUUUUUAAAUAAAUACGACCUAUAACGGGAUAUUCAUUCAGUCACGUCUUUCAGGUGGGUGCGAUAUUUCAAACACGAACUUUUAUUAUUCUUUUGAAAUCGUUCGUUUAGGGCUCAUAAAUUGGUAUUAUGGUGUGAUUUAUGAGUUUAUGAAUAAAAAUAAAUUACACUUUUGUCCUCAACCGCAAUUUUUAACCAAAGUAGCCAACUGUUAUUUUAUAUUUUUUGAAAAUCCUACUGGAAAUUGUAUUGGCUGUAAGUGAAAUGCAGCAGAAAGUCUGCUGGAUGGGAUAUUUGUCUGAUUUGUACACAUAAAUAUCCUAGUCUGUUUAACUGCAUCAUUGUACAGUCAUUACAGCUCAAAGCCAUCUGAUGUUCCAUUUAUCUAAAUACAUAGGCCUAACAUACUGUAUAUGGCUCUUAAAUCACUGCUUAUAAAAAUUCAGUGUUGUCAUAUUUUGAAUACCUCAAACUGAAUUGAGGUCAUUUGUUUUAUAAUUUUAUUACUGACUGUGUACUUGUCUUAUUUUUUGUAAAUUCAUUUCAGUUUGAAAUCAAGCUUGUGCUGUAAGCUUUUGCAACAAAGUCACCCUAAAGACACAAAUACACAGAAUGAGCAAAUGUUUAAGAUUGAGUUUUUUGUAAUGAUAAUUGAUCAGUAUUUAUAUGUAUGUAAAUAAAAGCCUAUAUAAAAUCUGUUCAUCAUAUAAAGCGAAUCUUUUUAGAAGACUUGGAUUAAAAGUUUGAAAUACUGAGUGCCUUGGAAAAAUGGAUGGACAAAAAAAU